rnacentral:rRNA from 1 species
AGAGUUUGAUCCUGGCUCAGAACGAACGCUGGCGGCAUGCCUAACACAUGCAAGUCGAACGAAGGCUUCGGCCUUAGUGGCGCACGGGUGAGUAACGCGUGGGAAUCUGCCUAUCAGUGGGGAAUAACGACGGGAAACUGUCGCUAAUACCGCAUACGCCCUUCGGGGGAAAGAUUUAUCGCUGAUAGAUGAGCCCGCGUACGAUUAGCUAGUUGGUGAGGUAAUGGCUCACCAAGGCUACGAUCGUUAGCUGGUCUGAGAGGAUGAUCAGCCACACUGGGACUGAGACACGGCCCAGACUCCUACGGGAGGCAGCAGUGGGGAAUAUUGGACAAUGGGCGAAAGCCUGAUCCAGCAAUGCCGCGUGAGUGAUGAAGGCCUUAGGGUUGUAAAGCUCUUUCGGGUGGGACGAUGAUGACGGUACCACCAGAAGAAGCCCCGGCUAACUUCGUGCCAGCAGCCGCGGUAAUACGAAGGGGGCUAGCGUUGUUCGGAAUUACUGGGCGUAAAGCGCACGCAGGCGGCUCGAUAAAUUAGAAGUGAAAGCCCCGGGCUUAACCUGGGAAUUGCUUUUAAGACUGUCGAGCUAGAAUCCAGAAGAGGGUAGUGGAAUUCCGAGUGUAGAGGUGAAAUUCGUAGAUAUUCGGAAGAACACCAGUGGCGAAGGCGACUACCUGGUCUGGCAUUGACGCUCAUGUGCGAAAGCGUGGGGAGCAAACAGGAUUAGAUACCCUAGUAGUCC